CUUUGAGUCAGGUUCCAUGGUAAAGCACAGAGGUAGGUGAGGUAUGAAAACAUCCCGUAACUGACCCAUAAGAACUUUUGAUACUUCCUCUUGUUGGCUGGAACGUUUCCACAUAGGUCAAAAAGAGGAAAGGAGAAAGUCCCAGGUCGCCAGUGGUUGUAGAGCUUGGAACAACCUCCAUAUACAGAGAACAUAAAGUCCUUUGACUCAGGACAAAAUGGAAGCUGAAAGUUCCUUAAAGAGGCUGCCUAAUUGACACUCUCAUCAGUCACCAAUAAAAGGGAAGGCGUGGCAGAAGACUCGAGGAUGUCAGAAAGAAGCACAACCUGAGUAGAGGUUGUUGGGGAGCAAGAAGACACUCCGAAUACGAGGUGGAAAGGGGGAGCCGGGAGCAGGAGAAACCGGACUUCCCUUUUAUGUGUUGCUUCAUGCCUCUGCUGGUGAACAGCAGGAGGAGAGAGAAAUGGCUGACUCCAAACCCACAGUUCCUGCCCUGGAGUGAAAUAAAAUACUCCGAGGCUGGUGUUUCAAUUGGUGCAAGAUUCUGA
rnacentral:lncRNA from 1 species